AUGAAACUCCGUCUCAAAAAAAAACAAAAACAAAAACAAAAAAAAACUCGAUUUCCAAAUGCUCAGGGAGACUGAUUUGAGUAACAGUAAAACUCCAGUCUCCCACACAGCCGGCUCUGGGCUGGGACAGACGGAAGAGGAAGAAAGCAGGGGUGUCCGGGAGGUACUUCCAGAAUGAUUUGCUCUUAUUCUCUACCUCAAUCUUGAAGGAAUUCAAGAAGAUAUCCAUGUUUUUAAAAUCUAAGAUAACUACUGCUCUUUUCAUUCUAACAUGUGAGUGUACGUUUUAAUAUCAUGUGAAUGCAUAAUAGUGAAUAAAGCUAAUGAAC
rnacentral:lncRNA from 1 species